rnacentral:rRNA from 1 species
GUGGGGAAUUUUGGACAAUGGGGGCAACCCUGAUCCAGCCAUCCCGCGUGUGCGAUGAAGGCCUUCGGGUUGUAAAGCACUUUUGGCAGGAAAGAAAUCGCACGGGAUAAUACCUCGUGUGGAUGACGGUACCUGCAGAAUAAGCACCGGCUAACUACGUGCCAGCAGCCGCGGUAAUACGUAGGGUGCAAGCGUUAAUCGGAAUUACUGGGCGUAAAGCGUGCGCAGGCGGUUCGGAAAGAAAGAUGUGAAAUCCCAGGGCUUAACCUUGGAACUGCAUUUUUAACUACCGGGCUAGAGUGUGUCAGAGGGGGGUGGAAUUCCGCGUGUAGCAGUGAAAUGCGUAGAUAUGCGGAGGAACACCGAUGGCGAAGGCAGCCCCCUGGGAUAACACUGACGCUCAUGCACGAAAGCGUGGGGAGCAAACAGGAUUAGAAACCCUAGUAGUCC